GGUCCAAUACAGCCGUUUUUAUCUCAAUAUCAAAUAAUUUAUUGGGUUGUGGGUUGGGAAACGCUGUCAGCAUGGCUGCUGGCCUGUAAAUAUAUCACUUAUUGCUUCAAGCCACACCGCACCCACCAAACAGAGAAAACAUACCUCAGUCAGUUCGAGAACAUUUUGGGGAAACGUGUCAUUCAGUACAAACUGUUUACACAACCAUGCAAAAGUUUAAUCUAACUGAACGCACCCACUCGGUUGGAGAAGAAACAUUAGUGGGUGUGGCGUUUGGCUGGAGUGAUGUGGAUGGGUAACCAGGCAACAAUACCUGAUGAAUGAGACUGAAAUAUGUAGCAAAACAAAAACCCAUUCCAAUAAAAAAAAUAUGUGUUCCUUCCAAACAGAUUCGUGUUGCACUACUGAAAUAUUUCAACCUAAAACAGGUACAAUCAGCAGUGAGUGAAAGUUCCAAACUGGCAUCAACGAUGAAGUCAAAAUGAUAUUUUGACAAUUCUGUUUCUUUUUUUUAUUUUAUAUGUUGUAUAUCUAUACUGUUUAUUCAUCUAGGCUUAGUUUACAUCUAAAUUAAACCCCAUACUAAUCAACUGAAAUUCUGACACUGAGAAAGUACGUGCAAUGUCCUACAUGUAUCAUUUAUUAGAAUUGUGGCCUUAUUUUUCUGUUGUAAUAUAGCCUAUAUAUUAGAUGUUAUGUAGAAUGGAAAAUUACAUCAUAGGAAUUAAUCAUUUGGAAAAUGAAUUGCAUAAUGUGUAACCUACACCUGUUUGUAUCUAUCGUAAGUGUCCAGAACAGUUUUUCAUACUGUAUGACCAAUGAAAUGUAUGUAAUGUCUGUAUUUUUCGUGGUGUAACAUUUUUUUAAUUGGUUCGGGUAAACUAUACUAGCUGUUUUCCAAAUAAUGUUUUUGUUAAUGAGGUGUGGUAAUCCCUUGUUUUGCAGUCCUGUUUAGUUCCUAUCUUCUCUGCGCCUCCCAUUCCUUGUCCGUGUCGUCCAAGGGAAAGCUGUUUAACACUGCCAUCUGGCGGUAGGUCCUGCACUCUGGCUCUGCACUGAAAUAUGAUGCAGACAAUCACAUUCAGGAAGUAACCUACUGCACAUAACACACAUGGGCUUGCAUCCUAAAAGUAACACUACUCCUUACAAAGUGCACUACUUUUGACCAGAGCCAUGGGAAGGGAAUAGGGUUCAAUUUGGGAAUCUACAAUGAUGGCCGUGUCCGAAAUCGGUCUUGCCUACUAGGCUACUGACUAAAUCUGCACGUGUACUAAUCAUACUACAUAGGACUUAGAACAUACUGUUUAGUAAACAUUUAUGCAGUAAACAACAAAUAUUAACAUAAACUACUAUACUCACUCACCCUUACUGAGAAUGCGUAAUCUAAUGCGUAAUUGCAUUGCUUCCUGACAUUAGUUCCUUCAUUAGUUAAUUUUGGUUCAGCACGUCCUCUUAUACCGCGUUCAAAACAACUCGGAAAUCUCUGACAACCGACUUCAGUGCAUUCAAGGAAAGACUGGAAACUAGAGGGAAAAAAAGAACGAGCUCCGACUGGGAAAGAUCUUUUUGAAUGGUCAUCCAACUCGGUAACUCAGGCCUCUUUCUAGAGCUUCAAACUGAAAAUCACAGACGUCAUGAUUUGACCUAGUUUUUUCCAAUGUUGUAUUGAAAGCAUCAUUACCUCAUCUGAUUAUCAGCUGCAAUAAAUAUUUUUUAAAUCCAUCUGUUAAACUAGAGAUAUGUUUUUUUUGUAUGGGCUGUGUCUCAAUCCACGGUAUCCGCCACUUUAAUGUCUAUGAUGCGCCAAUGUCGGCCUUCCGCAUUUGUGGUGGAAGGUAGCAGAGACAGCGGUGUUCGCCAGACCAAGAAACAUCCCGAAAAUGGAUCUUCUCACAAACGACUAGCAUUUGGGCUACACACUAAUAUGACCCAACAAGUGUCACGGGACUCAUCUGAUAGUAACCCAGUACAGAGCGGAAAAAUAAAUAGAUGUGAAUAAUGCA